rnacentral:rRNA from 1 species
GAGGCAUGUGAGGGCUGUCGCUGACUUUUUAACGCAAAAGGUCGUGCACGCCCGGAGCGUGUCCUCUCGCAUAAAAUCCAUCUCACCCUUUUGUGCACCACCGCGUGGGCACCCUUUGGGAUCAAACCGAUCCAGGAGGGCGCUUGCGUUUUCACACAAACCCCCUUUUAAAAGUGUAGAAUGACCCCAUUUUUGCGAUAACACGCAAUCAAAUACAACUUUCAACAACGGAUCUCUUGGCUCUCGCAUCGAUGAAGAACGCAGCGAAAUGCGAUACGUAAUGUGAAUUGCAGAAUUCAGUGAAUCAUCGAAUCUUUGAACGCACCUUGCGCCCCUUGGUAUUCCGAGGGGCACACCCGUUUGAGUGUCGUGAAAAUCUCAACCUCCUCGGUUUCUUCUGGACGCCGAGGGAGGCUUGGACUUUGGAGGCCUUUGCUGGCGUCUCUCGCCAGCUCCUCUCAAAUGAAUUAGCGGGGUCCUCUUUGCCGAUCCUCGACGUGUGAUAAGAUGUUUCCAUGUCUUGGUUUCUGGCUCUGUCGCCUUUGGGACCCGCUUCUAACCGUCUCAAGUCGAGACAACGUUUGAGCGUGUCUCCCUUCUCGGGAAACACCCUCGAGCCCACGAACCCUUGACCUCAAAUCGGGUGAGACUACCCGCUGAACUUAAGCAUAUCAAU